UUUGCAAAUAUCUUCUCCCAGUUGGUAGCUUGUUUUUCAUUUGUUGGUGAUUUCCUUUGCUGUGCAGGAGCUUUUUAGUUUGUGUAAUCCCAUUUGUUUACUUUUUCUUUUGUUUCCCUAGCCUGAGGAGACAUGAUACUCAAAAAGAUACUGCUAAGACUGAUGUUGAUGAGCUUACUGCCUAUGUUUUCUUCUAGGAGUUUUAUGGUUUCAAGUCUUACAUUCAAGUCUUUAAUCCAUUUUGUAAGUUCUUUGUUGAUGAGCUCACUGUGUUCAUCCAGCCUUCGCCUAAUAUCUGUGAGCAUCCUUAUGAGAUUUUGUUUGAACUCUUUGUCAGGCCUGGAUUGCUAUAAACUUCCCUUUUGUACUGCUUUUGCUGUAUCCCAUAGAUUUUGGUAUGUUGUAUUUUCAUUUUCAUUUGUCUUCGGGUUUUUUAAUUUCUCCUUUUAUUUCUUCAUUGACCCAAUAGUUGUUCAGUAGCAUUUUGUUUAAUGUCCAUGUAUCUUUGACUUUUCCUGUUUUCUUCUUGUAGUUAAUUUCUUGUUUCAUACCAUUGUGGUCAGAAAGAAUACUUGAUAUUAUUUCAGUCUUCUUAAAUUUAUUGAGACUUGUGUUGUGGCCUAAUAUGUGAUCUGUCCUGGAGAAUAUUCCAUGUGCAUUCAAAGAGAAUAUAUAUUCUACAGUUUUUUGAUGGAAUGUUUUAUAAUAUAUAUGUAUUAAGACCAUCUGGUCUAAUGUGUCAUUU
rnacentral:lncRNA from 1 species